rnacentral:rRNA from 1 species
UACGGGGGGGGUAAGCGUUGUUCGGAAUUACUGGGCGUAAAGGGCUCGUAGGCGGCCAACUAAGUCGGACGUGAAAUCCCUCAGCUUAACUGGGGAACUGCGUCCGAUACUGGAUGGCUUGAGAUUGGGAGAGGGAUGCGGAAUUCCAGGUGUAGCGGUGAAAUGCGUAGAUAUCUGGAGGAAUACCGGUGGCGAAGGCGGCAUCCUGGACCGACAUUGACGCUGAACGGCGAAAGCUAGGGGAGCAAACGGG